ACACUUCUCACCUUUUGCUUUUAGAAAGCAAAUAGUCCUUAGUCUUUGUGACGUUGUUCUAACCUUGUUUAUUCUCCUACCAUAUAACCGUAGCCAUCGCCUGUGAUGAACACAGAGAUCCUGCAGUAUCUGAGGACAGAAGGAUCAAUGAAAACUCAGUUUCGUUCUUGAUAUAAUGCCACGAUCAGUUUAGUCAUUGUCUAUUCUCCACAUACUGAAAAAGUGAUUGCACCGGGUCCAUUCAGGAAGAAGAAAAAAAGUAAGAGAACAGUUUCUAUCUCCCAUCUGAUGUUUGUCAACUGAUUACCAAGUCCUGUCCUAGGGAUGUACUUUACUAGACCUUGAAAGGAGCCACACCGGGCAAAGGCUGGUUAAAGUGAGAGGCAGGAACGUGGGCAUAGACAGAGGCAUUGCCCUGUUGUGGGACAGUCAGAGGACCCUCAACAGAGACAUACAAGAAAUUAUUCGUAAGCCCGUUACUAGUGGCUCGUCUUCAUGAUGAGACAUUUGGAAGAAUAGAUGGGAAGAUUGCUCUUAAUGGAUAUGAUGAAGAAUCUUGUGAAUAAACUUUGAAGACUAAUAAAUAAAUGAGGUAGUUCUUUGUAUUCUGUGAGAAUGCUCAGCACAGUAAUAGAAGCGAUUUUCAGUAACCAAGAAGACAAGUCAAUCCUUUCUUUCUUUGUUGGCUGAGAACACGAUCCCAGCACAUUCUCAGUCAGUUAAAUGGAGAUAAAGUUUAUGUCUGGGCCUAGACCUCACCAAAGCUGACCUCCUUCCUCUCGAUGACCCUGGUGAUCUCCAGUAGUUAGGAGCCUAACAGGAAGCCAUUACCAGGACUAACGCACCA
rnacentral:lncRNA from 1 species